GGGCACUCACGGGACCAGUCUUGAAACACGGACCAAGGAGUCUAGCAUGUGCGCGAGUCAUUGGGAACUCCGAAUAACCCAGAGGCGUAAUGAAAGUGAAAGGCGGGGCCUCGCGCCCCGCCCCAAGGGAAGAUGCGCGCGCGUCUCAGCACGCGCCGCCGCAUUCCCGAGGCGUUUCGAGAAAGUCACCGUGCGAUUAUCGAGACGCACUGAGAGCGUACACGCUGGGACCCGAAAGAUGGUGAACUAUGCCUGGUCAGGUCGAAGUCAGGGGAAACCCUGAUGGAGGACCGAAGCGAUUCUGACGUGCAAAUCGAUCGUCGGAACUGGGUAUAGGGGCGAAAGACUAAUCGAACUAUCUAAUAGCUGGUUCCAUCCGAAGUUUCCCUCAGGAUAGCUGGCGCUCGGGAAACAUGCGCGCUUUUCGAUAAGCGAACGCAUUCGAACAGUCUCAUCCGGUAAAGCGAAUGAUUAGAGGCAUUGGGGCCGAAAUGGCCUCAACCUAUUCUCAAACUUUAAAUGGGUGAGAUCUCCGUCUUGCUCGAAGAUGAAGUCGGAGCUCGGAUGGGAGUGCCAAGUGGGCCAAUUUUGGUAAGCAGAACUGGCGCUGUGGGAUGAACCAAACGUCGAGUUAAGGCGCCCAACGAACGCUCAUCGGAGACCAUAAAAGGCGUUGGUCGCUCAGGACAGCAGGACGGUGGCCAUGGAAGUCGGAAUCCGCUAAGGAGUGUGUAACAACUCACCUGCCGAAGCAACCAGCCCUGAAAAUGGAUGGCGCUGUAGCGUUCGGCCUAUACUCGACCGUCGCAGGCAAGCGGGUCGACCUCGGUCGUCUUGAAGCCGCGACGAGUAGGAUGGCCGCGGCGGUGUGCGCAGAAGGGUCUGGGCGUGAGCCCGCCUGGAGCCACCGUCGGCGCAGAUCUUGGUGGUAGUAGCAAAUACUCAAGCGAGGUCCUUGAGGGCUGAUGUGGAGAAGGGUUUCGCGUUAACAGCCGUUGCACGCGAGUUAGUCGAUCCUAAGCCCUAGGAGAGAUCCGAUGUUGAUGAUGGUGUCAAGUUUUCAAUGUGAAAAACGAUAAAUUACACCCGUCGGGCGAAAGGGAAUCCGGUUGCAGUUCCGGAACCCGGCUGCGGAACCGUCUUAAAAAUCGUUCCCUCGCAAGAGAGUUCGUCGGGGUAACCCAAAGUGGCCUGAAGACGCCGACGGGAGAUCCGGAGAGAGUUAUCUUUUCUGCCUGAGCGUUCCCUGUUGCGCCCUGGAAUCCUAUAGCGGGGAGAUAGGGCUCGGGACGCGAAGAGCAUCGCCGAUGCGGCGGUGUCCGGAUCGGCCCCUCGGACCUUGAAAAUUCAGGUGAGGGAUACGCGGAGAUGUCGCGCCGGCUCGUACCCAUAUCCGCAGCAGGUCUCCAAGGUGAAUAGCCUCUAGUCCAUAGAAUAAUGUAGGUAAGGGAAGUCGGCAAAUUGGAUCCGUAACUUCGGGAUAAGGAUUGGCUCUGAGGGCCGUGGCGUGUCGGGCCUGGUCGGGAAGAGGGAACCGGCCGAGACGCGGAGGCCGGGCGGGUGCCCAGUCGGGGUCGUUUACGGCCUCUUCUGCGGUUAUCCGUCACCCGGCGCCUCGCCUUGGCUACCCCUCGGAUCUUCCUCGCUGUGUGGCGCAGGCGCGUUCGCGUGUCCUGUCGCCUGUACGGCCGCCGGACGACGGUCAGCUCAGAACUGGCACGGACAAGGGGAAUCCGACUGUCUAAUUAAAACAAAGCAUUGCGAUGGCCCUCGCGGGUGUUGACGCAAUGUGAUUUCUGCCCAGUGCUCUGAAUGUCAAGGUGAAGAGAUUCAAUUAAGCGCGGGUAAACGGCGGGAGUAACUAUGACUCUCUUAAGGUAGCCAAAUGCCUCGUCAUCUAAUUAGUGACGCGCAUGAAUGGAUUAACGAGAUUCCCUCUGUCCCUAUCUACUAUCUAGCGAAACCACUGCCAAGGGAACGGGCUUGGGAAAAUCAGCGGGGAAAGAAGAACCUUUUGAGCUUGACUUUAGUCUGGUAUUGUAAGGUGACAUGAGGGGUGCAGAAUAAGUGGGAGGCGGUCGCAAGGCCGUCAAACGUGAAAUACCACUACUUUCAUCGUUUCGUUACUUACUCAGUUGGGCGGAGGGCGUGCGCCGGCUUCAACGCCGCGCGUCACGGGUUUUUCGCGCCAAACGUGUACGGGGCGGCGAGCCGUCCGCCGUCCGUCCGGCGGUGCGCGUCCGAAAGGUCGUCGCCGUCGGCGGUGGCGACGUCGCCGCAUUCACCCCGCGUGAUCCGUUCUGAGGACACUGCCAGGCGGGGAGUUUGACUGGGGCGGUACAUCUGUCAAAGAAUAACGCAGGUGUCCUAAGACCAGCUCAGCGAGGCCGGAAAUCUCGCGUCGAGCAAAAGGGCAAAAGCUGGUUUGAUCACGAUGUUCAGUAUGCAUAGAGACUGCGAAAGCACGGCCUAUCGAUCCUUUCGGUUUAAAGAGUUUUUAGCGAGAGGUGCCAGAAAAGUUACCACAGGGAUAACUGGCUUGUGGCGGCCAAGCGUUCAUAGCGACGCCGCUUUUUGAUCCUUCGAUGUCGGCUCUUCCUAUCAUUGCGAAGCAGAAUUCGCCAAGCGUUGGAUUGUUCACCCAUCAAAAGGGAACGUGAGCUGGGUUUAGUACCGUCGUGAAAGGUUAGUUUUACCCUACUGAUGACCGAUCAUUGCGAUAGUAAUACUGCUCAGUACGAGAGGAACGGCAGUUUUGGACAUUUGGUUCACGCACUCGGUCGACCGGCCGGUGGUGCGAUGCUACCAUCCACAGGAUUAGGCCUGAACGCCUCUAACGGCCGUAUCCCGCCUAGGCAAAUCAGGCGGGGAUACGUGAUGUGAGUUCCCGGGUCGAAAGGCUCCGCUCUAACUAAACAAUGUGACAUCUAUCAGGCGGCUCCCCGUUCGCGGGAGCCUCCGUCGAAGCCCGACGAGACGGUUGGCGCACUGCGCGUCGCGGUUAAAUGUCCCGCGCAACGGCCGGCCGCCUCUGUACUAAGACUUCCAGUUUCGACGUCGGAACCACGGAAUCUUCCGCAGCACGAACCUUCGUA
rnacentral:rRNA from 1 species